rnacentral:tRNA from 1 species
GGAGUGUGGCUCAGCGGAAGAGCACUUGCCUAGCACAUGCGAGGCCCUGGGUUCGAUCCUCAGCACCA